rnacentral:rRNA from 1 species
GCAGUGAGGAAUAUUGGACAAUGGGCGCAAGCCUGAUCCAGCCAUGCCGCGUGCAGGAUGACGGUCCUAUGGAUUGUAAACUGCUUUUGCACAGGAAGAAACAACGCUACGUGUAGCGUCUUGACGGUACUGUGAGAAUAAGGAUCGGCUAACUCCGUGCCAGCAGCCGCGGUAAUACGGAGGAUCCAAGCGUUAUCCGGAAUCAUUGGGUUUAAAGGGUCCGUAGGCGGUUUGGUAAGUCAGUGGUGAAAGCCCAUCGCUCAACGGUGGAACGGCCAUUGAUACUGCCAGACUUGAAUUAUUAGGAAGUAACUAGAAUAUGUAGUGUAGCGGUGAAAUGCUUAGAGAUUACAUGGAAUACCAAUUGCGAAGGCAGGUUACUACUAAUGGAUUGACGCUGAUGGACGAAAGCGUGGGUAGCGAACAGGAUUAGA